GACGAACCGUGCGAACGUUGUUCGGAAUCACUGGGCUUAAAGGGCGCGUAGGCGGCUCGGCCAGUCCGGGGUGAAAGCCCCCAGCUCAACUGGGGAAGUGCCUUGGAUACUGCCGGGCUCGAGCGAGAUAGGGGUCGUGGGAACUUCCGGUGGAGCGGUGAAAUGCGUUGAUAUCGGAAGGAACGCCGGUGGCGAAAGCGCACGACUGGAUCUCUUCUGACGCUGAGGCGCGAAAGCCAGGGGAGCAAACAGG
rnacentral:rRNA from 1 species